rnacentral:rRNA from 1 species
UACGUAGGGGGCUAGCGUUGUCCGGAAUCAUUGGGCGUAAAGCGCGUGUAGGCGGUCCGGUAAGUCUGCUGUGAAAGUCGGGGGCUCAACCCUCGGAUGCCGGUGGAUACUGUCGGGCUUGAGUACGGAAGAGGCGAGUGGAAUUCCUGGUGUAGCGGUGAAAUGCGCAGAUAUCAGGAGGAACACCAAUGGCGAAGGCAGCUCACUGGGACGGUACUGACGCUGAGACGCGAAAGCGUGGGGAGCAAACAGG